UACGUAGGGUGCGAGCGUUGUCCGGAAUUAUUGAGCGUAAAGGGCUCGUAGGCGGUUUGUCGCGUCGGGAGUGAAAUCCACUGGCUUAACUGGUGGCUUGCUUUCGAUACGGGCAGACUGGAGGUAUGCAGGGGAGAACGGAAUUCCUGGUGUAGCGGUGAAAUGCGCAGAUAUCAGGAGGAACACCGGUGGCGAAGGCGGUUCUCUGGGCAUGUCCUGACGCUGAGGAGCGAAAGUGUGGGGAGCGAACAGG
rnacentral:rRNA from 1 species